GUGGAUUAGAUACCCUGGUAGUCCACGCCGUAAACGAUGGGCACUAGGUGUGGGGGGUGUCGACUCCCCCCGUGCCGACGCUAACGCAUUAAGUGCCCCGCCUGGGGAGUACGGCCGCAAGGCUAAAACUCAAAGGAAUUGACGGGGACCCGCACAAGCAGCGGAGCAUGUGGUUUAAUUCGACGCAACGCGAAGAACCUUACCUGGGCUUGACAUGUGAGUGACCGUCGUGGAAACACGGCUUUCCUUCGGGACACUUUCACAGGUGGUGCAUGGCCGUCGACAACU
rnacentral:rRNA from 1 species